CGCAAGCCUGACGGAGCAAGACCGCGUGCGGGAUGACGGCCUAAUGGUUGUAAACCACUUUUCUCAGGGAAGAAGAUGACGGUACCUGAGGAAUAAGCCUCGGCUAACUCCGUGCCAGCAGCCGCGGUAAGACGGAGGAGGCAAGCGUUAUCCGGAAUUAUUGGGCGUAAAGCGUCCGUAGGUGGUUAUUCAAGUCUGCUGUCAAAGCGUGGGGCUUAACUCCAUAGAGGCAGUGGAAACUGGAUGACUUGAGUGCGGUAGGGGUCGAGGGAAUUCCCAGUGUAGCGGUGAAAUGCGUAGAUAUUGGGAAGAACACCAGUGGCGAAAGCGCUCGACUGGGCCUGCACUGACACUAAGGGACGAAAGCUAGGGGAGCG
rnacentral:rRNA from 1 species